UACGUAGGGGGCGAGCGUUAUCCGGAUUCAUUGGGCGUAAAGCGCGCGUAGGCGGCCGCCUAAGCGGAACCUCUAACCCCGGGGCUCAACCUCGGGCCGGGUUCCGGACUGGGCGGCUCGAGUGCGGUAGAGGAGAGCGGAAUUCCCGGCGUAGCGGUGGAAUGCGCAGAUAUCGGGAAGAACACCGAUGGCGAAGGCAGCUCUCUGGGCCGUCACUGACGCUGAGGCGCGAAAGCUGGGGGAGCGAACAGG
rnacentral:rRNA from 1 species